GACGAGGACAUGGUUGGGAGCAUGGGGCAGGAGAGACAUCUCGCUGACCAUGCCAGCAGGAUGGAAAGGUGAGAAGGCCACCCUUUCCUCGCAGUGAACUGCUUCUGCUCUGGCCAAGCCCAGAGGAGGUCCUAGAAGAAUACUAGCUGCUUGGAUUUGUGUUACUGAGCUGUCAGGGCCGGAGGCACUGCCUUCCCUGCCAGCCAGAGCCAGAGCCAGAGCCACCUUGGGAGUUGCAUGCUAGCCUUGCAGGUGUGAGCCCCAGCAGCCCAGCAGCCCAGCUCCUCAUGGGCACAAGCCUGUGCCUCCAGCAGGUUUGUGGGAGAGCAGGAACCUGUGGCAAAUAUUGCCAGGGGCAGACCUACCCCAGGAACCAUCUGGGACAAGGCAAUAUGGAAAAUCACCUAGCAAUCGAGAGACUUUUGGAAAGCCCUCACCCCACCACCCUGUCACUUAGUCUGAAAUUCCACCACUGAAGAGAGGCACUUCUCUGAAUGGUAAAGCCUCUGUGGUCUCCCUACUAACAUGCAGAUCCUGGGGAGGUGUCACCCCUUAAGUCUAUAUCUUGGGAAGUAACAUUCUUAAGUCUUGGAGGAGAAAGGCUAGAGGCAGACAGGAAAGAUCGGUGACAUCUCUGAAUGAUGGACCUCAGUCUCCCCACCUGUGGAACGAGGCCAUGCAGUUGGAUGACCUCCCAGGUUAAAGAGAAAAGGCACCUGAGUUGGCAAGCCCAUUCUGGAUGGUCCUGGCCAGCAGCCCCUCACAGUACAGUGGGAUGUGGCUCCCACAAGCAGGCUCCUCGUGUCUGUGACGAGAGAUGCCGCUUCAACCUUUAUCUGUAGCCAGUCGAGCCGCAGAGGCCAGCGGCAAGCCUGUAGUAGGACUUAAAAUGGCUCGGCAGCAAAUGUCAGAACUGUUUGAUCUGCUUUUAGAAAAUCACCUUUCAAGGCACUGGAAGAUACUUGACACUUUGCAAAGAGAUUAGAAACUUUUCAGCUGACUUGGAAAAAGAGACCAAGCAGGUUUGAUUCCCGGGGAAGCAGGAGGGGGACCCCAGCAGUGCCCAGGGCCAGGAAGUCUGAAGCCAGUAGCCUUGCUUUAAAGGGAAGAGCCAGCUCCCAGCAUGGCCUCGGCUGCCAGCUCCUGCCCUUGGCAUCUGGGAUGGUCCCAGGAGGUUUCCUCUCUGUGUUCUCAGGGAGAGGAGGUGACUCCAGGUGGCGUUAAGGUGCAAAGGGAUGACUCAGCCCACCGGCUGGUCUGGAGGCCCUGGAUAAAUACGCAGAACUCAAAACAGGGCCUGGGCUGUCCAAUCGGUCAGUACAAGUGGCUUGAGACCUGCUGAGAACACUCAAAGCAACUGUCACGACUACCCAGCUCUCCCUUCUCCGAUGAUCUGGUGACUGUCCUUUCCUAUCACUCCCUGUCCUCAUCCUGGCCUGGACCUGUCUCUGCUCCCACUUGCAUUAAUUCAACUGCCUUCCCACUGGCGCCCUUCCUCUGCCCUCUUCCCUAAUCCGCACUACCCAAGACCACCAGCCAGAUGAUCCUGAAACAUCCUGCUGCUCUAAAGCCACCUACGAAACCAACACCCUGGCACUAAAACUUUCAGCCUUUCCCUGGUAAUAGUGACUGUUGCAACUAUUAUUAUUCUAUUUCAGUCAUGUGUUGUGUUUUAUAUGGUUUAACUAAUUUAAUACAACCUCUUUCUUAUUGGCCUCAUUCUACAUCUGAGAAAAAUUGAGGCUUAAAGAGAUUAAUUGGCUUACAGAGAGUAAGUAGGAUUCAAACCUGGAUCUCCUAUUGAAAACCAUGCACAGAGACGUUGAGCCAAGGCAUCUGGGUGGUUCAGCCAGUUAAGCAUCUGCCUUUGCCUUGGAUCAUGACCAUAGAGUCCUGGGAUGGAGCCCCACAUCAGGCUCCUGCUCAGUGG